rnacentral:rRNA from 1 species
GGGUUAAGUCCGCAACGAGCGCAACCCUUGUCUUUAAUUGCCAUCAUUCAGUUGGGCACUUUAAAGAGACUGCCGGUGUUAAACCGGAGGAAGGUGGGGAUGACGUCAAGUCCUCAUGGCCUUUAUGCCCAGGGCUACACACGUGCUACAAUGGGUGGUACAAAGAGAUGCAAUCUCGCAAGAGCAAGCAAACCUCAAAAAGCCAUCCUCAGUUCGGAUUGGAGUCUGCAACUCGACUCCAUGAAGUCGGAAUCGCUAGUAAUCGCGGAUCAGCACGCCGCGGUGAAUACGUUCCCGGGCCUU